rnacentral:rRNA from 1 species
UACGUAGGGGGCGAGCGUUGUCCGGAAUCACUGGGCGUAAAGCGCACGUAGGCGGUGCCGUAAGUCGGAUGUGAAAGCCCUCGGCUCAACCGGGGAACUGCAUUCGAUACUGCGGUGCUUGAGUGUCGGAGAGGGUGGCGGAAUUCCAGGUGUAGGAGUGAAAUCCGUAGAUAUCUGGAGGAACACCAGUGGCGAAGGCGGCCACCUGGCCGACAACUGACGCUGAGGUGCGAAAGCGUGGGGAUCAAACAGGAUUAGAUACCCUGGUAGUCCACGCUGUAAACGAUGGAUGCUAGGUGUCGGGGGUUUACCCUCGGUGCCGCAGUUAACGCGUUAAGCAUCCCGCCUGGGGAGCACGGUCGCAAGGCUGAA